rnacentral:rRNA from 1 species
CCCUUAGAUGUUCUGGGCCGCACGCGCGCUACACUGAUACGUUCAGCGAGUAUAUAACCUUGAUUGGAAAAUCUGGGUAAUCUUUUGAAUGCGUAUCGUGCUAGGGAUAGACUAUUGCAAUUAUUGGUCUUCAACGAGGAAUUCCUAGUAGACGUAGUUCAUCAGACUGCAUCGAUUACGUCCCUGCCCUUUGUACACACCGCCCGUCGCUCCUACCGAUUGGAUGAUCCGGUGAGCUAUUCGGGCCUUCGCUUCGUCGAUUUUCGGCUUUGUGAGGGAAAGUCUCGCGAACCUUAUCAUCUAGAGGAAGGAGAAGUCGUAACA